rnacentral:rRNA from 1 species
AAAAUUAGAGUGUUCAAAGCAGGCAGAUCCAAUUUUCUGCCACCGAAUACAUUAGCAUGGGAUAAUGGAAUAGGACCCUGUCCUCCUAUUUUCAGUUGGUUUUGGCAGCGCGAGGACUAGGGUAAUGAUUAAUAGGGAUAGUUGGGGGCAUUAAUAUUUAAUUGUCAGAGGUGAAAUUCUUGGAUUUAUGAAAGAUUAACUUCUGCGAAAGCAUCUGCCAAGGAUGUUUUCAUUAAUCAAGAACGAAAGUUAGGGGAUCGAAGACGAUCAGAUACCGUCGUAGUCUUAACCAUAAACGAUGCCGACCAGCGAUUAGGAGACGUUGAAUACAAAACACCACCAUCGGCGCGGUCGUCCUUGGCGUCUCGGUUUCGGCCGGGGCGCGGGACGGCUAGCC